rnacentral:snoRNA from 1 species
GGGAUGUGAUGAGAUCUUGAGAAAAAGCCAUGUGCCACUCUGAUAUUAAUGAUGUGAAAUUUCUCAUACCAAUACACCUUUCUGAGCUC